rnacentral:tRNA from 1 species
GCCCCUGUCGAGUAGCGGCCUAGCUCGCCUCGCUCUCAACGAGGAGACCGCGGGUUCGAAUCCCGCCAGGGGUA